GACGAGGGAGCACAGACUCACCUCAGUAGCAGAACAGUGGAGCGGCUGAGAAGCUGGGUUUCUGAAAUCACCCAUUCAUGAUGUCCAUAACCCUGCCCACUCUUUUAAGGGGAACAUCAAAUAAAAGCUGGAAGCCAAGAGGUCUCUGGGAAAGCCCUCCUGUUGAGGACCGCAGGAAAAACCAACCGCGGAGGAGGAUGUCAUCUUGGGAUUGGCCCUUCGGAGGGAAGAGCACUGCUUUAAACAAACAGCCAAACAGGAUUCGAGUGAUGCAUUUGGACGGCUUAGUUCCCUGCAUUGUGUCUAGAGCCUCGAACGCAGCAGACGCUUAGCUCCAACGUGGCUGUAGUGGCUUCAUCCUCACAACUUCGGUCUUUUAACUGGAAGACUUUGGAUAACCGUCUCGUGGGCUUAUUCGCUGGCAGUUACAAAUCAGUCUGGUGGAUUCGUGUUCAGCUCACCCUGGGACACCCUUCUGCUAUUCCACAGACAUCAGGGACUGGGAGAGCAGGACACUAAGCUGAAAGGAAUUGAAAGCCCCGAGGAGCCAAGGAAAUCCAGGGAGGUCAGACGCCAAGUCUUACAUUUCCUCUGGGCAGAAGCUACUGAUGGCAGGAUUUUAGAUUGGAGGAGACUGGGCUGGCAUACCAUACAUGGAUUGAACUCAGCUUUGUCAAGCUUGGUGGCAGUCACCUUUACCUGCUGAGCCAGCUCAUCAGCCCAUGAUCUAUCUACCUUUGUAAAAAUAUGAAAAGGAGAAAACUGGAGCUGAAGAUGUGACUUAUAGGUUAAAAGCACUUGCCGCUCUUUCAGAGGACCCAGGUUCAGUUCCUAUCGCUCACAUGGUGACUCACGACCAUCUGUAACCCCAGCUUCAGAGGAUCUGAUACCCUCAUCUGGCCUCCACGAACACCAGGCACACACGUGGUGCACAUACAUGUAUGCAAGCAAAGCAUUCAUAUGUAUAAAAUAAAAAUUAAUAAAUCCUUUCUUAAAAAUCUUUCAUUUUGCUGAUGGGAUAUACUUGCAUUUUAAUAGUAUUUUUUUGUAAAAUUAAAAAAUAUUAGAUUGUAAUACAAAAGAUGGAAUCAACUCCUCUUGGUUGUUCUUUAUAUGAGUGCCUUGGUACUCAAGGACCUACCGAUUGCUAUUAAAUAAAUGUUUACAAAUGCUUUUAAAAUAAAAAUAAAUAAAUAAAU
rnacentral:lncRNA from 1 species